AAAGUCGUAACAAGGUUUCCGUAGGUGAACCUGCGGAAGGAUCAUUACAAAUCCACACGUCUCUCUUUUGAGACCACGUUGAAACGUUCCCCAGCCAGGUGCGCGCGCUCCCUCACAGGACGCAAACAACUGUCUGGGCUUUUAAACUAGUGUUCCCUGUUGCUCAAUUGUAUGAUUGUCUUGACGCCCUUGCGGCUAAAGAUGAAUAACAACAAAGUACAACUUAUAACAAUGGAUCUCUAGGCUCUU
rnacentral:misc_RNA from 1 species